rnacentral:lncRNA from 1 species
GUCAAUGUGCAGGAUUUAUGUUAAGACCCUGUAAACUUCAUGGUUUUAAAAAGCCCAACUGAAACCCACCUUAAGGCCACGUACAAGAAAUGCCUCAAUGCACUAAUUGUGAGGCGGUUUUUGGAGGCCUGCGUCUCAGUUGUACGAGGCCUCACAGCAGCGCCCUAAGCCUUGUGGCCCACAAAACAUAAAAUAGUUUUUUAUUGACCUAUUCCACAUUCCUAUAUCAAAUCAACAUCCUAGACUUUUUCAUUAAUACAUUAGACAUUCAUUCAAACCCACACACCAUCCUCGUGCCCAAUAUGAGUGAAAUGUCUUAUGUGCAUAAAACACAAUCGUACCUGAAGCACAGAGAGUUUCCCCUUGAGAUCAGCUUUCUUAGAAGAUGGAAUAGAUGCUCCUUCCACUCGGCUAUUUAAAGAAGUUACUUUCUAGAAUCAGGGAAAGGAAACCUAGCUUAUUAUAUCAGCAUAUAAAUGUAUUUUAAAAAAUAUAUAUAUAUCUUUAAUAGAGAAAAAAAUUACUCCCUUUGUCCCAUUUAGAUAGGUUGAUUUUGUUUUUCACACAGAUUAAGAAAUCUUAUUUAGUGCAUGUUUGAUUUGGAUUAAAAUCCGAUUUUAAUCUAAGCCUAAGUCUAAGUCAAAUAAUCAAUAUUAACAUCAUCUUUCUCUGCUCCACAACUUUUCAACCACAAGUUUCGAAAGUAUCUAUCACAAUCUACUAAAAAAUCUAAUUGUAAUCCCUACCAAACAUCCCCUUAAUGUUAUUGAAAAAGAAAAAUUUGCCAAAAAUUUUCCUAGUCUACCCUUAUUUAUAUUUAUACAAUUUCAAGAUUACGUGGGAAAAAUUGGUUUUAAUUGGACAAAUUAAAUAAGGGUAUAUUAAUAAACAAAUAAAACAAAACAUUCUUAAUAAAGAAAUAGGACUAUAAAAUUGGAACAAGAAAAUAAGAAAAAUCAACCUAUAUAAAUGGGACGGAGGGACUAUGUAACAAACUCUACUAGCAUAUUAACACGCCAUCUGAUGGCGGUGAAAAAAUUGCUAGUCGUGAUGAUAUUGCAAAGCAAUGAUGAUUUUGAUAUUUACAUGAUUUUUAUGUACUAUUCACAUUGGAAAAGUAUUGUGGAAGAAAAUCCCCUAAAAGCUAAGAAUUCUAUGUCUUAGAGAGUGACAUUAUGUACUGAUAGAGUGUACACACACACAUACAUACAUACACCAAGAAAACUUGCAUCUUCGUGCAUGGAGGGAGUGAAAA